GACGAACGCUGGCGGCGUGCUUAACACAUGCAAGUCGAGCGGUAAGGCCCUUUCGGGGGUACGACGAGCGGCGAACGGGUGAGUAACACGUGGGUGACCUGCCCUCAGCUCUGGGAUAAGCCUGGGAAACCGGGUCUAAUACUGGAUAUGACUCCAUGACGCAUGUUGGUGGGGUGGAAAGCCUUGUGCGGCUGAGGAUGGGCCCGGCGGCCUAUCAGCUUGUUGGUGGGGUGAGGCCUACCAAGGCGACGACGGGUAG
rnacentral:rRNA from 1 species